AACGAACGCUGGCGGCAGGCCUAACACAUGCAAGUCGAACGCUCGUAGCAAUACGGGAGUGGCAGACGGGUGAGUAACACGUGGGAACCUUCCCUAUGGUUCGGAAUAGCUCAGGGAAACUUGGGGUAAUACCGGAUAAGCCCUUCGGGGGAAAGGAUUUAUCGCCAUUGGAUGGGCCCGCGUCGGAUUAGCUAGUUGGUGAGGUAACGGCUCACCAAGGCAACGAUCCGUAGCUGGUCUGAGAGGAUGAUCAGCCACACUGGGACUGAGACACGGCCCAGACUCCUACGGGAGGCAGCAGUGGGGAAUAUUGGACAAUGGGCGCAAGCCUGAUCCAGCCAUGCCGCGUGAGUGACGAAGGUCUUCGGAUUGUAAACUCUUUUGGCGGGACGAUAAUGACGGUACCCGCAGAAUAAGCCCCGGCUAACUUCGUGCCAGCCGCCG
rnacentral:rRNA from 1 species